rnacentral:siRNA from 1 species
UUGAGAUCCUGAAUGUAUAUU